UACGGAGGGUGCAAGCGUUAUCCGGAUUUACUGGGUUUAAAGGGUGUGUAGGCGGGCUUUUAAGUCAGUGGUGAAAUCUCCGGGCUCAACCCGGAAACUGCCAUUGAUACUAUUAGUCUUGAAUUUUGUUGAGGUAGGCGGAAUAAGUCAUGUAGCGGUGAAAUGCAUAGAUAUGAACUUAGAACACCAAUUGCGAAGGCAGCUUGCUAAACAAAUAUUGACGCUGAGGCACGAAAGCGUGGGGAUCAAAACAGG
rnacentral:rRNA from 1 species